CCCGCUGAACUUAAGCAUAUCAAUAAGCGGAGGAAAAGAAACUAACAAGGAUUCCCCUAGUAACUGCGAGUGAAGCGGGAAAAGCUCAAAUUUAAAAUCUGACGGUCUUGCGGCCAUCCAAGUUGUAAUCUGGAGAAGCGUUAAUCCGCGCCGGACCGUGUACAAGUCUUCUGGAACGGAGCGUCGUAGAGGGUGAGAAUCCCGUCUUUGACACGGACUACCGGGGCUUAUGUGAUGCGCUCUCAAAGAGUCGAGUUGUUUGGGAAUGCAGCUCAAAAUGGGUGGUAAAUUCCAUCUAAAGCUAAAUAUUGGCGAGAGACCGAUAGCGAACAAGUACCGUGAGGGAAAGAUGAAAAGAACUUUGGAAAGAGAGUUAAACAGUACGUGAAAUUGUUGAAAGGGAAACGCUUGAAGUCAGUCGCGUCGGCCGAGACUCAACCUUGCUUCUGCUCGGUGCACUUCCUGGUUGAUGGGUCAGCAUCAAUUUUGACCGCCGGAUAAAGGUGAGGGGAAUGUGGCAUCCUUCGGGAUGUGUUAUAGACCUCGAUUAGGAUACGGCGAUUGAGAUCGAGGAACUCGCCACUUUGCGUGCCAAGAAGGUGGCCAAAAUGCCUUUAACGGCCCCUCCUGAAACCCCG
rnacentral:rRNA from 1 species